rnacentral:lncRNA from 1 species
CGCAGGGAGCGCGCCUGCCUCCUACCCGGCUCCCGGUCGCAACAGGAGAGGAGCGGGCCUCAUAGUCACUUCCUGCUUCAGCCUCCAAACUGAGCCUUCUAAAUUUGAGGACAUACCUGCCCAGGGGAUGCCAACCCAUUUUGGUCAGUUUCUACAGCAGCAUAAAUUAGGGUUCUCGGAGCCAUUCAGAAAUUGAGCCCUCAUCUGGCAAAUACAAUCCUCCCAGGGAAACUCAGAAACAAAAAUAAUAUGCACAGAAGAAAAAUAUGUAAAAUAUUUUUUAAACAUACAUUUGGACAAGGAUUGGAAGAUAUAUGUAAAAUUAAAAUAUCAAGAUGGUGGAGUUAUGGAUGUACUUCUUUUUGAAAAUGUGGAUAUUAUAUUUUUAAGGUUAAAAAAAUGAAACAUGUUAAGAAAUGUUAAUAACUUUUAACAAGAAUAUCCUGAAAGGAUAAAUUUUGAUUAUGAAGUAGAGAUGCCUCAACUUUGCUCACUACUUCCAACUUGCUAGAAUUCCCUACCAGAUCUCUAAUGGCAAGAAAUAAAUGAUAUGACAGUAGAGUUUUUCAUAUUAAUAACAAAUUUAAAUUUCCAACUAUGAUAUCACGAGGCUCAUUCUCAUUCUUUUAAACUCCAGGGUAAGGACUAGAGUUUCUUUUUUCCAUCCAAUUCAAUCCCUCACCCUCUCUUGUACAUAUUCCUGCAGUCUAAUCCAGUCCUAAGCAGGGUAUAAGAGUAAGCAAUAUAAGAAGAAAAACAAGGAAGCGGUCAAGUGAUAGGAGCUACUGAGAGCAACUCUUCAUGUCACCAUAAUCCCAGAUAUAAAUAUAGAGGCAGAAUAUUUAUCCUUUAAAUAAAUAUCCUUUAAAUAACCUAAUAAUCUGAGCUUAAAGCUCUGAUAAAGCAAGUUAUCUGAUAUAUUUAUCGCAUCAAUUUAACAACUAUUUACCAAGUACCUACACUUUGUAAGGCACCAGGUUUAAGGUUAAACCAAAAAAAAAAAAAUGACCCCUGACCCCAAAUAAGUUCCAAUUGCAUAUGGGCUAUAUCUGUGCUAUCAUAAAUAAGCAGAUAGAGUUCUGCCUCUUUGUCACCUAAGGAUACUUCUGCCUUGCCAGGCAAGAGCUACUGAGUCAUUAAGAGGACAAUGCUCACAGUUCAGUAAAGGAGCCCUUUCAAUAGAAAAAAAAAAGUGUGGCUUCUGAAGGGAGAGUGAGGAUGAUCAGAUUUCAGGAGGCAAUCCAGCUGCUGAGAAGCAUGAGGGCAGAUGGUAGAUGGUGGACCAGAAGAAAGCAGAUCAGGAGUACUAGAAGCUCCAAGUGCUGUACACAGAGGCUUCCAAGGACACUCUCCCAGGAAACAAAAAGUGUGGUUUUUAAAAAAAUUCAUAGAGAUAAUACCAUUGACAUAUACUUUGAGUAAUUUUUUAUUAGUAAUGAUGAGUUUCACCAGCUCUUUUAUCCUAAUCUGCUUUACGACCACAGAAGGAUUUCUUUAAAUCCCUUAAGUAUUCUGAGUACUAAAGACAGAGACAAUAUGUUAUAUUUGUGUAACACUUUACAAAUUUCAAAGUGCUUUCACACCUAUUAUCUGAUUUAAUCUUCACAGCAAACCCAGGGGGGAUGGGUAAGGCAUGUAUGAUGACCCUGUCUUCACACAGGAGGAUACUGUGUCUUAAAGCUAUCUGAGGGUAACACUGUACUUGCCUCCUAAAGAUUUAUCCCACCUCUGCCCCACCAUGAUCACUACCACACCCAGACACCACCUGAGAAGCUAUAAAAUUUGGAUGAGAUUGGCCCCACCCUCAUCUCUGAGAGAGUUAUAGUUGGUCUACCUUACCAAGAAAGAAGUGGAGAGGGGAAUGAUCAGGAUGAGGAAUCCUGGUAGAAGACUCUGCUAUAUGGCACCUUUGACUCAAAAACAUUGAUGACGUGAAAAUAAGUCAACUGCUAAAGUUCACAUUUUAAUCCUAGGCAGGCUCUCCUCAACCCAUCAAAAUGCUGGACCACUUCUUUCCACAAUCAGUUAAUCUGCAUUCAAGAAUGGAAAAUUAACUUUAUUAUUAGCUUAGGAGGAACAUAAUUAAGAAAGAAAAAUGAUGUAGGGAAUUAUAAGGAUUUCCAAUGCCAAGUAUAAAUUAUUUUUGAAUUAGCUAUUUUAAGUUUUUA